rnacentral:rRNA from 1 species
AGCGAACGCUGGCGGCAGGCCUAACACAUGCAAGUCGAACGGAUCCUUCGGGAUUAGUGGCGGACGGGUGAGUAACACGUGGGAACGUGCCCUUUGGUUCGGAACAACUCAGGGAAACUUGAGCUAAUACCGGAUGUGCCCUUCGGGGGAAAGAUUUAUCGCCAUUGGAGCGGCCCGCGUCUGAUUAGCUAGUUGGUGAGGUAAAGGCUCACCAAGGCGACGAUCAGUAGCUGGUCUGAGAGGAUGAUCAGCCACAUUGGGACUGAGACACGGCCCAAACUCCUACGGGAGGCAGCAGUGGGGAAUCUUGCGCAAUGGGCGAAAGCCUGACGCAGCCAUGCCGCGUGAAUGAUGAAGGUCUUAGGAUUGUAAAAUUCUUUCACCGGGGACGAUAAUGACGGUACCCGGAGAAGAAGCCCCGGCUAACUUCGUGCCAGCCGCCGCGGUAACAC